rnacentral:rRNA from 1 species
AGAGUGAACGCUGGCGGUAGGCCUAACACAUGCAAGUCGAACGGCAGCACGGUAAGAGCUUGCUCUUAUGGGUGGCGAGUGGCGGACGGGUGAGGAAUACAUCGGAAUCUACCUUUUGGUGGGGGAUAACGUAGGGAAACUUACGCUAAUACCGCAUACGCCCUUCGGGGGAAAGCCGGGGACCAGCAAUGGCCUGGUGCUGAUAGAUGAGCCGAUGUCGGAUUAGCUAGUUGGUGAGGUAAUGGCUCACCAAGGCGACGAUCCGUAGCUGGUCUGAGAGGAUGAUCAGCCACACUGGAACUGCGACACGGUCCAGACUCCGUACGGGAGGCAGCAGGUGGGGAAUAGUUGGAAC